AUAUCAUCCAACCCCCAAAUUCCCCUUUCAAUUAUCCCUUUCUUGCUUCUCUACUUUCCAUCUCUGUCCUCUUUCUGGGCUUUUAUCUCUUUUGAUAAUCUCUUUUCUUUUGUGUUUGAUGGGUUUCUUCUGAUUUGGUGGUUUAAUUUGUACUCUUUGCUGUUUGUUUGUGGAUUUUGGAUAGGAUGAUGAGUGAUUAUAAGGUGGAGCUGAUCAAUGAUGGGAUGCAAGAGUUCUAUGU
rnacentral:lncRNA from 1 species